rnacentral:lncRNA from 1 species
GGUUGCUUCAUCACUCAGCUUUGUUUCUAGCCUUGCUGCCCUACACUUAAUGGAAAGGGAUAAAAGAUAGAAGUGCUUCAACAAAGGGACCACAAGAUGGUCAAAGCUUCAAAGCACUGCCAUAAUACCAUCCUGGAUGAGAGUGGUAAUAUACCAAACAGCAGUUCUUCAACAACAUUUGAAAGUUUAUUCUCCAUCUCAAAAGCAAAUUAGACAGAGGUACUUUCUCCCUCUCAAAUAUGAAAAACACUGUGAAAAGAGGCCCACCUAACCUAGGCUUGAGCAACACUGACGUCGGGGAUCAUCUCAGUCUUGAAUGCUGCAGACACAAAACAAGAAAUCCCAGUCAAGCAGUCGGCAAAUAUCAAUUGCAGGAGUCAAAUGACUGUAAAAAUUUAAUUUCACAUUAUCAUUACAAUUCAGCUGAUGGAAAAGAAUAAAAAUGUGGGUUGUGUGUAUGGGAUUAGUCACCCUUGAGUCCCAUUGCAGUCAGUGGAGAUCUAGUCAACAGUGAAGCACAGGGAGCAAUAUAUCUCAUCCUAAAGCAGUGCCUAAGGCAUUGAGUAGCAUCCUGAAACAGACCGUUCUUCUCCAUUAAUUAUAAAGGGACAUCUGAACAAGUACUUCAGCUGAAGAUGUCCAUGCUGGGAUGGUCUAGCACUGGGUGAGGAAAAUGACACAACCAAUUUAAUAAAGCAACUGUUCAACAUACA